UCUCCUCUCAUUUUAUAAUCUUUUUUUUUGUGCAAUUUCCUAUUCCUUUAGCUGAACUAGAGAAGGGCUAACAAUUGUUCCCUUCUCAAUUUAACCUUUCUCCUAGCCCUUCUAAAAGGAUUUCUUUUUCAAACUUUUUGCAUUAAGAUGCGACAACCCUAUUGGCGAGUGAACGAACGAGCGAGCGAGCGAACGCAUGCACGCAUGUGUGCAUGGACACACACACGC
rnacentral:lncRNA from 1 species